GACGAACGCUGGCGGCGUGCUUAACACAUGCAAGUCGAACGGAAAGGCCCCUUUGGGGGUACUCGAGUGGCGAACGGGUGAGUAACACGUGAGUAACCUGCCCUUGACUUCGGGAUAACCUCAGGAAACUGGGGCUAAUACCGGAUAGGAAUCCUUGCUGCAUGGUGGGGGUUGGAAGGCUUCGGCGGUUUUGGAUGGACUCGCGGCUUAUCAGCUUGUUGGUGGGGUAGUGGCUUACCAAGGCUUUGACGGGUAGCCGGCCUGAGAGGGCGACCGGCCACAUUGGGACUGAGAUACGGCCCAGACUCCUACGGGAGGCAGCAGUGGGGAAUAUUGCACAAUGGGCGGAAGCCUGAUGCAGCAACGCCGCGUGCGGGAUGACGGCCUUCGGGUUGUAAACCGCUUUCAGCAGGGGCGAAGCUUGUGGUGACGGUACCUGCAGAAGAAGCACCGGCUAACUACGU
rnacentral:rRNA from 1 species